GACGAACGCUGGCGGCGUGCUUAACACAUGCAAGUCGAACGGAAAGGCCCUGCUUUUGUGGGGUGCUCGAGUGGCGAACGGGUGAGUAACACGUGAGUAACCUGCCCUUGACUGUGGGAUAACUUCAGGAAACUGGGGCUAAUACCGGAUAGGAGCUCCUGCUGCAUGGUGGGGGUUGGAAAGUUUCGGCGGUUGGGGAUGGACUCGCGGCUUAUCAGCUUGUUGGUGGGGUAGUGGCUUACCAAGGCUUUGACGGGUAGCCGGCCUGAGAGGGUGACCGGCCACAUUGGGACUGAGAGACGGCCCACACUCCUACGGGAGGCAGCAGGGGGGAAUAUUGCACAAUGGGCGGAAGCCUGAUGCAGCAACGCCGCGUGCGGGAUGACGGCCUUCGGGUUGUAAACCGCUUUCGCCUGUGACGAAGCGUGAGUGACGGUAAUGGGUAAAGAAGCACCGGCUAACUACGUG
rnacentral:rRNA from 1 species